rnacentral:rRNA from 1 species
UACGUAGGCAGCGAGCGUUGUUCGGAUUUACUGGGCGUAAAGGGCGCGUAGGCGGCCACCGCAAGUCGACUGUGAAAUCUCCGGGCUUAACCCGGAAAGGUCAGCCGAUACUGCGGGGCUAGAGUGCAGAAGGGGCAACUGGAAUUCUCGGUGUAGCGGUGAAAUGCGUAGAUAUCGAGAGGAACACCUGCGGCGAAGGCGGGUUGCUGGGCUGACACUGACGCUGAUGCGCGAAAGCUAGGGGAGCGAACGGG